rnacentral:tRNA from 1 species
AGGUCAGCGGCAACUUACGCGCACCACCAGGUUUCAGUGACUAACCCGGGCUGGUAAAGCGGUGGUUAGGGGUUCGAGUCCCCUCGUCGGCUCCA